UUACGGCCACAUCACGUUGAAACACCGGUCCCCGUAGGCUCACCGAAGUUGAGCAACAUCGAGCCUGGUCAGUACCUAGAUGGGUGACUGUUUGAGAAUAUCAGGUACUGUAC